AUUGAACGCUGGCGGCAUGCCUUACGCAUGCAAGUCGAACGGCAGCACGGGUGCUUGCACCUGGUGGCGAGUGGCGAACGGGUGAGUAAUAUAUCGGAACGUACCUUAUUGUGGGGGAUAACGCAGCGAAAGCUGUGCUAAUACCGCAUAAUCCCUAAGGGGGAAAGCGGGGGACCGUAAGGCCUCGCGCAAUUAGAGCGGCCGAUACCUGAUUAGCUAGUUGGUGAGGUAAAGGCUCACCAAGGCAACGAUCAGUAGCUGGUCUGAGAGGACGAUCAGCCACACUGGGACUGAGACACGGCCCAGACUCCUACGGGAGGCAGCAGUGGGGAAUUUUGGACAAUGGGGGCAACCCUGAUCCAGCAAUGCCGCGUGAGUGAAGAAGGCCUUCGGGUUGUAAAGCUCUUUUGUCAGGGAAGAAACAGCAGCUCUAACACAGUAUGCGAAUGACGGUACCUGAAGAGUAAGCACCGGCUAACUACGUGCCAGCAGCCGCCGUAA
rnacentral:rRNA from 1 species